UCUCCGUUGGUGAACCAGCGGAGGGAUCAUUAUAGAGUUUUCUAAACUCCCAACCCAUGUGAACUUACCAUUGUUGCCUCGGGGGCGACCCGGCCUUCGGGCGUCGGGGCCCCCGGUGGACCUAUCAACUCUGCAUCUUUGCGUCUGAGUAAAUAUUGAAUCAAUCAAAACUUUCAACAACGGAUCUCUUGGUUCUGGCAUCGAUGAAGAACGCAGC
rnacentral:misc_RNA from 1 species